AGGCUUCUAAUUCAGGCUUGAACAGUCACAGGUGAGGGUCGGAAGGUCAGUGAUGUGAUGUAAAAGGUCUGAAGCCCA
rnacentral:pre_miRNA from 1 species